UACGAAGGGGGCUAGCGUUGUUCGGAAUUACUGGGCGUAAAGCGCACGUAGGCGGACAUUUAAGUCAGGGGUGAAAUCCCAGAGCUCAACUCUGGAACUGCCUUUGAUACUGGGUGUCUUGAGUAUGGAAGAGGUGAGUGGAAUUCCGAGUGUAGAGGUGAAAUUCGUAGAUAUUCGGAGGAACACCAGUGGCGAAGGCGGCUCACUGGUCCAGCACCGACGUCAGGCACGAAAGCGUGGGGAGCAAACAGG
rnacentral:rRNA from 1 species